UCCUCAAGUAUAUUACCACGACUUCCAUAUAGUCUACAGUGAUUCAUAUCGGGUUCCCGUGCUGUAUUUUCGCAGUUACUACAUCGGUAUGUUAACCUGUUAUCAGCUACUUAAGCAGCAAAAUUCAGUGAAUCGCUUUGGAAUCCAUGGUUGAUUCUUGCUAGUAAAAUGCAAGUGUUAAUCUUCGUAACAUUGAACGAUAUAUAUAGAUGGACAGCCUUUGGCAUUGGAAGAAAUCGAAAAGGACCUACCUGCUUGCUCAUCGAAGGUUUUACUGGAAUCAAAAUGGACAUUUAUAACUCAGGAGGUACGUAUUCCUCAAUCUCCGUCGCAAUCAUUUCACUUAUCUUUCGAUGCUUGCUUUCUGUUCUUGCCAAACUUCUUUGUUCCGUUAGAGUUACUUUGCAAAGAUUUGUAUAAACGAUGCAUAUACAGGUUAGGUCAAUUGGCCAAGGCAGUAUGUCCGCUCUUCAAAUCCACAUCCUGUAGAUUAGAAUAAUUUAGAACAUAUAAAGGAAAGACAUUCUUUCUAGUUGCUAAUAUUGAAUCAAACAUCUGAACAUAUAUGGUAUUUGUAGGAGCAUCCAUACCUGAACAGACCAUGGUAUAAGCUGCAUCCACGUGGAACCAGUGAGUGGAUGAAGCUGGUUUUCCUUGGUGAUAAUUCUCUGCCUAAAAAUGAAGUUGCAGUUGAACAAUAUUUGGCAUCUUGGCUCUCGGUUGUAGGUCAAGUGGUUGGCAUUAGAAUCCCUUUAGAGAUGCUGAACAAUCAUAAAAGUUGU
rnacentral:lncRNA from 1 species